rnacentral:rRNA from 1 species
UACGUAGGGCGCAAGCGUUAUCCGGAAUUAUUGGGCGUAAAGAGCUCGUAGGCGGUUUGUCGCGUCUGCCGUGAAAGUCCGGGGGCUCAACUCCGGAUCUGCGGUGGGUACGGGCAGACUAGAGUGAUGUAGGGGGAGACUGGAAUUCCUGGUGUAGCGGUGAAAUGCGCAGAUAUCAGGAGGAACACCGAUGGCGAAGGCAGGUCUCUGGGCCACUACUGACGCUGAGAAGCGAAAGCAUGGGGGAGCGAACAGG